UCAGGAUGAACGCUGGCGGCGUGCCUAACACAUGCAAGUCGAGCGAUUACUUCGGUAAAGAGCGGCGGACGGGUGAGUAACGCGUGGGCAACCUGCCUCAUACACAUGGAUAACAUACCGAAAGGUAUGCUAAUACAGGAUAAUGUAAGAGAUUCACAUGGAUUUCUUAUCAAAGCUCCGGCGGUAUGAGAUGGACCCGCGUCUGAUUAGCUAGUUGGUAAGGUAAUGGCUUACCAAGGCGACGAUCAGUAGCCGACCUGAGAGGGUGAUCGGCCACAUUGGAACUGAGACACGGUCCAAACUCCUACGGGAGGCAGCAGUGGGGAAUAUUGCACAAUGGGCGAAAGCCUGAUGCAAGCAACGCCGCGUGAGUGAUGAAGGCCUUCGGGUCGUAAAACUCUGUCCUCAAGGAAGAUAAUGACGGUACUUGAGGAGGAAGCCCCGGCUAACUACGUGCCAGCAGCUGC
rnacentral:rRNA from 1 species